rnacentral:rRNA from 1 species
UACAGAGGGGGCAAGCGUUGUUCGGAAUUACUGGGCGUAAAGGGCGCGUAGGCGGCCUGCUAAGUCGAACGUGAAAUCCCUGGGCUCAACCCAGGAACUGCGUCCGAUACUGGAUGGCUUGAAUUCGGGAGAGGGAUGCAGAAUUCCAGGUGUAGCGGUGAAAUGCGUAGAUAUCUGGAGGAAUACCGGUGGCGAAGGCGGCAUCCUGGACCGACAUUGACGCUGAGGAGCGAAAGCUAGGGGAGCAAACGGG